GACCGAAACGUUAGAAAAUAAAAUAUAUAAUUGAAGCACAAAGGUCAUCCAGAAAUAUAUUUAAGCACCAGAAUGCACUGCAACAACAUAUCUGAACAUCUGCAGCAGCAACACCCCACUACUAUUCACAUUUACAGAACCAACAUAUGACAAGAAACAAGGGCUAGACUGUAGUGUAGCAAGCUGGGAUGGCAGCAAUCGUCCACAGCGCAUACAUUUUUCUUUCCUCCUGUGGCUUCUGAGGCCAUCCAUGGCGGCCGUCUCUCCACGGCCAAGCAUCCUAUGAUGAGCAGCACGACGUGCUGCUCACCAUCCUCUCGGCCGGUCUCUGUGAGAGCACCAUCCCCGCCUGCGGGUUCUGCGCCUGCUGCCCCGCGAGCAGUCUCUUUGCUGAAACCGGAUGUUGCCAAACAGAUCAGUGCUUAGACAUUAAUUAGCAGGAAAAGGGAACAGAGAAAUUUCUUUUGUAGUAUGUAAUAACAACCGGCCAUCCCACAGUAAAGUGAUCUAUAGUAUGUAGUACUCACCGAGCUCAUAGAAUACGUCAUUCACAUUGAUGGCUGUUUUGGCAGACGUUUCAAUGAAGAAGAGCCCAUUCUCUUGUGCGUAAGUCGUCGCUUCCUGCACCGCCAACAAGAGUUUAGCUUUGGAUAAAUCAUUCAAACAACAUAGUAGUAGUACAGGCUGUAUCAUUGUGCUGUUCUCGUUCGGACAGUACCAACAUGUUUCUCUCUCACAGAAAAAUGGCAUCUCUGUCGUAAUAAAACACUACAGGAACCAAACAAGCUGCACAUGAUGUAACUGGACAAGGUGCAGUAUUUGAAAUGUGACAAAUUCCCAAGCAAAAUGCAUGUCUGUAAUGUCAAAAGUGAGAUCCAAGAAGCAGAAUUACAUACUUCCACUGGCACCUGCCUUGCCUCCAACAUAUCAGCCUUGUUCCCAGCAAGAGCCAUUACUGUGUUUGGAUUCCCUGCAUGGAAAACGCAUCAAGAAUUAAAAACUAUAUCUGCCAGCUUAUUUACACAAAAUGCUCAAAGACAUCCUCUCUAGCAAUGCCCACCAUUACAACUCACAAGGUCAGUUUUACAGCCACAUAAAUAUUUCUAUGGCUCAAAUGAAGAAAACACAUCAUAAAGGGGUAAAAUGGAUUACCUUGUGCUUGAAGUUCUUGAACCCAUUUCUUUGCACGUGUAAAAGAGGCCUGUGAGGUAGAAACAAUAAUGUUAUAAUCAACUGGACUAAAUAACUAUCCACCUACUUUUACACAACAGUUACAUUCUUUAGAUAAGUAGCAAAUGAGAAUGGGUUUAAACUUGUGAUACAGAUCAAGAUUGAUUCAUAUCUGCAUGAUGCAAAUCAGGACUUUUUUUUUGCAUGCGUGCAGGUCAAGUCGAGAUUCACAAGCCAUGCAUUGCGAGUGCAUAUCACCUACUCCCUCCGUCCAAUAAUAUAAGAGCGUUUUUGGCACUUGUAUAUUAUGCGACAGAGGGAGUUAUAAACAAGGUAUUUAAUGAGAUCACUAGCAAUAUAUAAGAUCCUGAAAUACAAACUAAAUGGUUCUUUUGUUAUUAUCAAGUAACAACCCAUGAACACCAAACAAACAAACAAAAAGAGACACCAUAUCUUCUCUGCAUUUGGCUUGCUCACAAGAUGCAAGCAAAAAGUAACAAAGUGCAACUGCAAAGAGUUUGUUGGUUCAGUUUUGGUACUACAUCGUACUUCAGUCUUGAAUUCAGAUUACUCGUUUAGCAAAGCAACUAGGCAACAUAUGCAAAAGCACAGUUAAAAUAUAACACAUUCCGUGAGUGAACAGUGUUGAAUCGUAAAAGCACUACAAUGCAUAUGUCCAUAUACAGAAAUAGAUUCAUACAAAUCACUAGAAAAGCCAACUUAGACAAAGAGGUCAGGAGGAAAAGACCACACAGAACGGUGUCUGGACUGUCAGAGCUCAGAACUAGUGCAUACUUGUUCUUGCUGAAUACAGUUACAUACAGUUAUACGCCUGCUCAGAAGAAUGCUAAAUGUGCUAAUAAUUUUGGCAUCAAUACACUUGAGUUCCAGAUUAAUCAAUGGGGUAAAGAAGCAUGUAUGGUCAUCAAGACAAACAGGCAUGGCUCUGUUGAACAGAGUAGGGUGGCGAGUGCAACUGAUAAUGAUUAUUAGAUAAAGAAGUUUCAACUGCCUAAUAAGUUCAGAUCCUCUAGGUUUGUACACAAAACCUGACACAGGCACAACUCACCCAGAAGAGGGUUACCACAAUAUGGUUUUUGAAGCUCAAACAUUUCGCGCCAAUGUUGUUAGUACUAUGAAAGAGCAAGAUUUUAUAGACUUAAAGCUGUUUCCAGUUUGCCUCAAAGAUCACAGUUGGCGAUUUGAUUUCGCAGAAGGAGCAAGGGAAAUUCUUAUCAAGAGCUACCAAUUGUUUACAGGUAAUUGCUAUUAAUCAUGGCUGCGGUAAAGGAUUACUGUCAAAUCAAGAUACUCAUGCUCUGCUCAUACUCACCGCGUUGGUGAUGUCGUAGACGACGAUCGCGGCCGCGGCGCCGCGGUAGUACAUGGGCGCCAGGCUGUGGUACCUCUCCUGGCCGGCCGUGUCCCAGAUUUCGAACUUGACCGUCUCAUCGUUGACCGCCAGGGUCUGCGAGAAGAAGGCCGCGCCGAUGGUCGAUUCCUGCGGCCAGCCAAACCGCAAAAAUAAAAUCAGCACCACCACCAGCAGCACACACAGAUUCCUGCGGUCAUGCCCAAUUUGGAGCACAGCCUGGGGCAUGUGAAGGAAGGGGCGGGGGCUGACCUGGAACUCGACGAACUGGCCCUUGACGAACCGGAGCACCAGGCUGGACUUGCCGGUGCCGACAUCCCCCAGAAGAACCUGACCAUCGAUCCAGCACCACAGGAGGCGUAGCACACAUCAUCAGCAUAUGAGAAAACUUCACACAGCGAAGUGAAUCUUCGCAGCACCCAAGAAAAUGUGUCCGAUUUAUAAUUCCUAAAAUAAACACAGGAGCCGGCCGGCUGUUGAUCCGAUCGCGGGCACGAAGCGCCCAGAGCCAGGAGCUAAUUCGCAACGAGACUUAGGCCUAAAAAGCGUGGACCGAAAAAUAAAAUAAAAUAAAAAUAUCCAGGCGCCUGCCGCCGGAACAGGAAAUCGAAACGGAGAUGGUGGGGAUCGGGCGCGGGGGUGAGGGGCCCUCACCAGCUUGGCGUUGCGGAUCUUGCUGCCACCGGCGCCGGCGCCGGCGUUGGCCGCCAUCUCUGAUAGAUCAGGCGAGACUUGGAACCUCCGACGGGCGGGAUCCGAUCGAUCGCUCGCUCGCUCGCUCGCUGGCCGGCUGGCUGGAGAGAAGGAGAGGGCGGCGAAUCCGGAGAGAAACUCUUGUGGCGACGACGAGGACGACGGAUCGGGAGGAAAAAAGGUUGGGGCUUUCUUCUUGGCGACUCGGGUGUGUGGUGUUGUGUUCUUGCGUGGCGUGGCGUGGGCGAUGGAUACUCUGCUUGGUUGCCGUGUUCCCUUGUUACUUCCGGUUUAAGGCUAAGUAAGAUGCCUUCUCCCCAAGUGGUCCCUCUAACAUCGCGUAAUUACAGUCCGGUCCAAACUUUGACCGUCCUAGGUCAACGGUCUUUUUUUUACACAGUACAGACGCAAGCGCUCAUAUAUAUAUAUAUAUAUAUAUAUAUAUAUAUAUAUAUAUAUAUAUAUAUAUAUACAUAUAUAUAUGUAUAUAUAUUGCAUUUCCCCUUUGAAACAUAUAUAAACAUACUACAUCCGCCGGUUUAUGUAGAAAAAAUGGUAUCACUACAAACUUUAUUUGAAUGCAAAUUGAGUAAUAUAAAUUUUACUACUAUAUAUCGCUUUUCUAUUUUGCAGAUCAACAAUCAAAGUUUAACCAAAAAAAUACAAGGGGUCUAAUAUACCCAAAUGGAGAUGCUCCCUUCAUUUCUCAAGGCCAUAAACUUAAAUUACAAAUACCAAAAUAAAAAAUAAUUCCUGCUUUACAAGCCAACUUGUCUUCUUGUUUACCAAGUUAAUUAAUAUAAGAUGCACCCAAAUUAAAGAAAACCAACAGAACGUGAGGAAGGAAGUAGCUGAGCAUGCCAUUAUCAUCCACAACGUGCAUGCGAGUAGUUAAACCAUGAGUUUGCUAGUAUGGCGUAGUGUCAUCAAUUUUCCCUUCAUUGUAUAGCUGCAAAAUGUAUUUUUCAUAGUGAUCUUAUAUACAGAAAAUGGAGGGACUAGUUCUGCCCUCUCCCUUUUGGUUUAUAUAAGAGCAUCUACAACCAGGCACCCUAAACCCCCCUCAUACGCACGGGCGGACGGCGGGGUCAAUGACCAAUCGAAAAAACUCAACGUAGACAGGCGCCUCAAACGAGUCUCAAACGUCCGGGUUAACCGACAUCCCUCAUAUCCAGCCUAAAUGUAGGGUAGUUAUGGGGAUGCCCGGGCGCUUCCUUCACAUCGAACUGACGACCGGUUCCCACACGGAAUUGCCCGGAAACCCAAUAGUCUGACGAGCGUCUCCUUCGGUGGGGAUGUGAACGCCGCAUGGCGCCACUCCAUCUCCAACCCUAGACACAACCUCUUCCCCCCUCUUCGCGCCGCCAGCCCGAGCACAUUGCUCUUCGUCUCCACUCUCUCUUCCCUCGCCGUCCGGCAUGGCCCGGCAGAAGAAGACCACCCAUGCCCUAGAGGCAAUAAUAAAAGUAUUAUUAUUAUAUUUCCUUGUUCAUGAUAAUUGUCUUUUAUUCAUGCUAUAACUGUAUUAUCCGGAAAUCGUAAUACACGUGUGAAUACAUAGACCACAAUAUGUCCCUAGUGAGCCUCUAGUUGACUAGCUCGUUGUGAUCAACAUAUAGUCAUGGUUUCCUGGCUAUGGACAUUGGAUGUCGUUGACAACGGGAUCACAUCAUUAGGAGAAUGAUGUGAUGGACAAGACCCAAUCCUAAGCAUAGCACAAAGAUCGUGUAGUUCAUUUGCUAGAGCUUUGCCAAUGUCAAGUAUCUCUUCCUUUGACCAUGAGAUCGUGUAACUCCUGGAUACCGUAGGAGUGCCUUGGGUGUAUCAAACGUCACAACGUAACUGGGUGACUAUAAAGGUGCACUACAGGUAUCUCCGAAAGUAUCUAUUGUUUUAUACGGAUCGAGACUGGGAUUUGUCACUCCGUGUAAACGGAGAGGUAUCUCUGGGCCCACUCGGUAGGACAUCAUCAUAUGCGCAAUGUGACCAAGGAGUUGAUGACGGGAUGAUGUGUUACGGAACGAGUAAAGUGACUUGCCGGUAACGAGAUUGAACAAGGUAUUGGAUACCGACGAUCGAAUCUCGGGCAAGUAAAAUACCGCUAGACAAAGGGAAUUGUAUACGGGAUCGAUUGAGUCCUUGACAUCGUGGUUCAUCCGAUGAGAUCAUCGUGGAACAUGUGGGAGCCAACAUGGGUAUCCAGAUCCCGCUGUUGGUUAUUGACCGGAGAACGUCUCGGUCAUGUCUGCAUGUCUCCCGAACCCGUAGGGUCUACACACUUAAGGUUCGAUGACGCUAGGGUUAUAAAGGAAGCUUGUAUGUGGUUACCGAAUGUUGUUCGGAGUCCCGGAUGAGAUCCCGUACAUCACGAGGAGUUCCGGAAUGGUCCGGAGGUAAAGAUUUAUAUAUAGGAAGUCCUGUUUCGGCCAUCGGGACAAGUUUCGGGGUCAUCGGUAUUGUACCGGGACCACCGGAAGGGUCCCGGGGGCCCACCGGGUGGGGCCACCUGCCCCGGGGGGCCACAUGGGCUGUAGGGGGUGCGCCUUGGCCCACAUGGGCCAAGGGCACCAGCCCCUAGAGGCCCAUGCGCCAAGAUAAAGGAAAAAGGGGAGAGUCCUAAAGGGGGAAGGCACCUCCGAGGUGCCUUGGGGAGGAUGGACUCCUCCCCCCUCCUUAGCCGCACCCCUUCCUUGGAGGAGGGGGCAAGGCUGCGCCUCCCCCCUCUCCCCUGCCCCUAUAUAUAGUGGAGGGGAGGGAGGGAAUCCACACCUGAGCCCUUGGCGCCUCCCUCCCUCCCGUGACACCUCCUCCUCUCCCGUAGGUGCUUGGCGAAGCCCUGCAGGAUAGCCACGCUCCUCCAUCACCACCACGCCGUUGUGCUGCUGCUGGAUGGAGUCUUCCUCAACCUCUCCCUCUCUCCUUGCUGGAUCAAGGCGUGGGAGACAUCGUCGAGCUGUACGUGUGUUGAACGCGGAGGUGCCGUCCGUUCGGCACUAGGAUCAUCGGUGAUCUGAAUCACGACGAGUACGACUCCAUCAACCCCGUUCACUUGAACGCUUCCGCUUAGCGAUCUACAAGGGUAUGUAGAUGCACUCUCCUUCUACUCGUUGCUGGUCUCUCCAUAGAUAGAUCUUGGUGUUACGUAGGAAAUUUUUUGAAUUUCUGCUACGUUCCCCAACAGUGGCAUCAUGAGCUAGGUCUAUUGCGUAGAUUCUUUGCACGAGUAGAACACAAAGUAGUUGUGGGCGUUGAUGUUGUUCAAUAUGCUUACCGUUACUAGUCCAAUCUUGUUUCGACGGUAUUGUGGGAUGAAGCGGCCCGGACCGACCUUACACGUAUUCUUACGUGAGACAGGUUCCACCGAUUGACAUGCACUUGGUGCAUAAGGUGGCUAGCGGGUGCCAGUCUCUCCCACUUUAGUCGGAACGGAUUCGAUGAAAAGGGUCCUUAUGAAGGGUAAAUAGCAAUUGGCAUAUCACGUUGUGGUCUUGCGUAGGUAAGAAACGUUCUUGCUAGAAACCCAUAGCAGCCACGUAAAACAUGCAACAACAAUUAGAGGACGUCUAACUUGUUUUUGCAGGGUAUGCUAUGUGAUGUGAUAUGGCCAAAAGGAUGUGAUGAAUGAUAUGUGAUGUAUGAGAUUGAUCAUGUUCUUGUAAUAGGAUUCACGACUUGCAUGUCGAUGAGUAUGACAACCGGCAGGAGCCAUAGGAGUUGUCUUUAUUUUUUGUAUGACCUGCGUGUCAUUAAAGAACGCGAUGUAAACUACUUUACUUUAUUGCUAAACGCGUUAGCCAUAGAAGUAGAAGUAGUCGUUGGCGUGACAACUUCAUGAAGACACGAUGAUGGAGAUCAUGAUGAUGGAGAUCAUGGUGUCAUGCCGGUGACGAUGAUGAUCAUGGAGCCCCGAAGAUGAAGAUCAAAAGGAGCAAAAUGAUAUUGGCCAUAUCAUGUCACUAUUUGAUUGCAUGUGAUGUUUAUCAUGUUUAUGCAUCUUGUUUACUUAGAACGAUGGUAGUAAAUAAGAUGAUCCCUUACAACAAUUUCAAGAAGUGUUCUCCCCUAACUGUGCACCGUUGCUACAGUUCGUCGCUUCUAAGCACCACGUGAUGAUCGGGUGUGAUGGAUUCUUACGUUCACAUACAACGGGUGUAAGACAGUUUUACACAGCGAAAACACUUAGGGUUAACUUGACGAGCCUAGCAUGUGCAGACAUGGCCUCGGAACACGGAGACCGAAAGGUCGAGCAUGAGUCGUAUAGUAGAUACGAUCAACAUGAAGAUGUUCACCGAUGAUGACUAGUCCGUCUCACGUGAUGAUCGGACACGGCCUAGUUUGACUUGGAUCAUGUAAUCACUUAGAUGACUAGAGGGAUGUCUAUCUGAGUGGGAGUUCAUAAGAUGAACUUAAUUAUCCUGAACAUAGUCAAAAGACCUUUUGCAAAUUAUGUCGUAGCUCGCGCUUUAGUUCUACUGUUUUAGAUAUGUUCCUAGAGAAAAUUAUAGUUGAAAGUUGAUAGUAGCCAUUAUGCGAUCAGUAGAAAGCUUAUGUCCUUAAUGCACUGCUCAGUGUGCCGAACCCCAAACGUCAUUUGUGGAUGUUUCGAACAUCGAACAUACAUGUUUUGAUAACUACGUGAUAGUUCAGUUAAAUGGUUUAAGUAGAGGCACUAAAGACAUUUUCGAAACGUCGCGGAACAUAUGAGAUGUUUCGAGGGCUGAAAUUGGGAUUUCAGGCUCGUGCCCACGUCAAGAGGUAUAAGACCUCCGACGAUUUUCUUAGCCUACAAACUAAGGGAGAAAGGCUCAAUCGUUGAGCUUGUGCUCAGAUUGUCUGAGUGCAACAAUCACUUGAAUCGAGUGGGAGUUGAUCUUCCAGAUGAAAUAGUGAUAGUUUCUCCGAAGUCAUUACCACCAAGCUGCUAGAGCUUCGUGAUGAACUAUAAUAUAUCAGGGACAUAUAUGAUGAUCCUUGAGAUAUUCGCGAUGUUCGACACCGCGAAAGUAGAAAUCAAGAAGGAGCAUCAAUCGUUGAUGGUCAGUGAGACCACUAGUUUCAAGAAGGGCAAGGGCAAGAAGGGAUACUUCAUGAAACGGCAAAUCAGCUGCUGCACCAAUGAAGAAACCCGAGGUUGAACCCAAACCCGAGACUAAGUGCUUCUGUGAUAAGGGGAAUAGCCGCUGGAGCAGAAUUACCCUAGAUACUUGGUAGAUGAGAAGGCUGGCAAAGUCGAUAGAAGUAUAUUGGAUAUACAUUAUGUUAAUGUGUACUUUACUAGUACUCCUAGUAGCACCAGGGUGUUAGAUACCGGUUCGGUUGCUAAGUGUUAGUAACUCGAAAUAAAAGGCUACGGAAUAAACGGAGACUAGCUAAAGGUGAGCUGACGAUAUUUGUUGGAAGUGUUUCCAAGGUUGAUGUGAUCAAGCAUCGCACGCUCCCUCUACCACCGAGAUUGGUGUUUGCGUUGAGCAUAGACAUGAUUGGAUUAUGUCUAUCGCAAUACGGUUAUUCAUUUAAGGAGAAUAAUGGUUACUCUAUUUAUUUGAAUAAUACCUUCGAUGGUCUUGCACCUAAAUAAAUGGUUUAUUGAAUCUCGAUCGUAGUGAUACACAUUUUCAUGCCAAAAGAUAUAAGAUAGUAAUGAUAGUACCACUUACUUGUGGCACUGCCAUGUAAGUCAUAAUGGUAUAAAACGCAUGAAGAAGCUCCAUGUUGAUGGAUCUUUGGACUCACUCGUUUUGAAAAGUUUGAGACAUGCGAACCAUGUCUAUUGGUGUAUAUGCAUGAAGAAACUCCAUGCAAAUGGAUCGUUUGAACUCACUUGAUUUUAAAUCACUUGAGAUAUGCAAAUCAUACCACAUGGGCAAGAUGACUGAAAAGCCUCAUUUUCAGUAAGAUGGAACAAGAUAGCAACUUGUUGGAAGCAACACAUUUUGAUGUGUGCAGUCCAAUGAGUGCUGAGGCAUGCAGUGAAUAUCAUUAUGUUCUUACUUCACAGAUGAUUCGAGUAAAUGUUGAGUAUAUUUACUUGAUGAAACACAAGUCUGAAUUAUUGAAUGGUUCAAGUAAUUUCAGAGUGAAGAAGCAGAUCAUUGUGACAAGAGGAUAAAAUGUCUAUGAUAUGAUCAUAGAGAUGAAUAUCGGAGUUACGAGUUUUGGCACACAAUUAAGACAUUGUGGAAAUUGUUUUGCAAUUAACACCGCCUGGAACACCAUAGUGUGAUGGUGUGUCCGAACAUCAUAGUUGCACCCUAUUGGAUAUGGUGCGUACCAUGAUGUCUCUUAUCGAAUUACCACUAUCGUUCAUGGGUUAGGCAUUAGAGACAACCACAUUCACUUUAAAUAGGGCACCACGUAAUUCCGAUGAGAUGACACCGUAUGGUUUAGAGAAACCUAAGUUGUCGUUUCUUAAAAGUUUGGGGCUGCGACACUUAUAUGAAAAGUUUCAGAUUGAUAAGCUCGAACCCAAAGCGGAUAAAAUGCAUCUUCAUAGGACACCCAAAACAGUUGGGUAUACCUCCUGUCUCAGAUCCGAAAGCAAUAAGGGAUUGUUUCGAGAAUCAGGUCCUUUCUCGAGGAAAAGUUUCUCUCGAAAGAAUUGAGUGGGAGGAUGGUGGAAACUUGAUGAGGUUAUUGAACCGUCUCUUCAACUAGUGUGUGGCAGGGUACAGGAAGUUGUUCCUGUGGCACCUACACCAAUUGAAGUGGAAGCUUAUGAUAGUGAUCAUGAAGCUUCGGAUCAAGUCACUACCGAACCUCGUAGGACGACAAGGACACGUACUACUUCCGAGUGGUAAGGUGAUCUUGUCUUGAAGGUCAUGUUGCUAGACAACAAUGAACCUACGAGCUAUGGAGAAGCGAUGGUGGGCCCGAAUUCCGACAAAUGGUUAGAAGCCAUGAAAUCCGAGAUAGUAUCCAUAUAUCAGAACAAAGCAUGGACUUUGAUGGACUUGCCCGAUGAACGGCAAUCCAUUGAGAUAAAUGGAUCUUUUAAGAAGAAGACGGACGCGGAUGGUAAUGUCACCAUCUAUGAAGCUCGGCUUGUGGCGAAGUGUUUUCCGACAAGUUCAAGGAGUUGACUACGAUGAGAUUUUCUCACUCAUAGCGAUGCUUAAAGUCCGUCGGAAUCAUGUUAGCAUUAGCUGCAUUUAUGAAAUCUGGCAGAUGGAUGUCAAGACAAGUUUCCUUACUAGUUUUCGUAAGGAAAGGUUGUAUGCAAUACAAUCAGAAAAGUUUUGUCGAUCCUAAGGAUGCUAAAAGGUAUGCUAGCUCCAGCGAUCCUUCUAAGGACUAGAGUAAGCAUCUCGGAGUUGGAAUGUACGCUUUGAUGAGAUGAUCAAAGAUUUUGGAUUUAUACAAAGUUUAUGAGAAACUUGUAUUUCCAAAGAAGUGAGUGGGAGCACUAUAGAAUUUCUGAUGAGUAUAUGUUGUUGACAUAUUGAUGAUCAGAGAUGAUGUAGAAUUUCUAGAAAGCAUAUAGGGUUAUUUGAAAGGUGUUUUUCAAUAGAAAACCUGGAUUAAGCUACUUGAACAUUGAGCAUCAAGAUCUAUAAGGAUAGAUCAAAAUGCUUAAUAAUACUUUCAAAUGAGCACAUACCUUGACAUGAUCUUGAAGGUGUUCAAGAUGGACCAGUCAAAGAAGGAGUUCUUGCCUGAGUUGUAAGGUACAAAGUUAAGACUUAAAGCUCGACCACGGCAGAAUAGAGAGAAAGGACGAAUGUCGUCCCCUAUGCUUAAGACGUAGGCUCUUCAGUAUGCUAUGCUGUGUACCGCACCUGAAGUGUGCCUUGCCAUGAGUCAGUCAAGGGGUACAAGAGUUAUCCAAGAAUGGCUCACAGAACAGCGGUCAAAGUUAUCCUUAGUAACUAGUGGACUAAGAAAUUUUCUCGAUUAUGGAGGUGGUAAAAGAGUUCGUCGUAAAAGUUACGACGAUGCAAGCUUGACACCUAUCCGGAUAGCUCUGAGUAGAGAGACCGGAUACAUAUAAUGGAGCAAUAAUUUAGAAUAGCUCCAAGUAGAACAGUUGUUUGGAAUAGCUCCAAAUAGAGCAUGGUAGCUGCAUCUAGGAGAUGACAUAGAGAUUUGUAAAGCACACAUGGAUCUGAAAGGUUCAGACCUGUUGACUAAAACCUCUCUCACAAGCAACAUGAUCAAACAUAAAACUCAUUGAAUGUUAAUCACAUAGUGAUGUGAACUAGACUACUGACUUUAGUAAACUCUUGGGUAUUAGUCACAUGGCGAUGUGACCUGUGAGUGUUAAUCACAUGGCGAUGUGAACUAGAUUAUUGACUCUAGUGCAAGUGGGAGACUGUUGGAAAUAUGCCCUAGAGGCAAUAAUAAAAGUAUUAUUAUUAUAUUUCCUUGUUCAUGAUAAUUGUCUUUUAUUCAUGCUAUAACUGUAUUAUCCGGAAAUCGUAAUACACGUGUGAAUACAUAGACCACAAUAUGUCCCUAGUGAGCCUCUAGUUGACUAGCUCGUUGUGAUCAACAGAUAGUCAUGGUUUCCUGGCUAUGGACAUUGGAUGUCGUUGACAACGGGAUCACAUCAUUAGGAGAAUGAUGUGAUGGACAAGACCCAAUCCUAAGCAUAGCACAAAGAUCGUGUAGUUCAUUUGCUAGAGCUUUGCCAAUGUCAAGUAUCUCUUCCUUUGACCAUGAGAUCGUGUAACUCCUGGAUACCGUAGGAGUGCCUUGGGUGUAUCAAACGUCACAACGUAACUGGGUGACUAUAAAGGUGCACUACAGGUAUCUCCGAAAGUAUCUAUUGUUUUAUACGGAUCGAGACUGGGAUUUGUCACUCCGUGUAAACGGAGAGGUAUCUCUGGGCCCACUCGGUAGGACAUCAUCAUAUGCGCAAUGUGACCAAGGAGUUGAUGACGGGAUGAUGUGUUACGGAACGAGUAAAGUGACUUGCCGGUAACGAGAUUGAACAAGGUAUUGGAUACCGACGAUCGAAUCUCGGGCAAGUAAAAUACCGCUAGACAAAGGGAAUUGUAUACGGGAUCGAUUGAGUCCUUGACAUCGUGGUUCAUCCGAUGAGAUCAUCGUGGAACAUGUGGGAGCCAACAUGGGUAUCCAGAUCCCGCUGUUGGUUAUUGACCGGAGAACGUCUCGGUCAUGUCUGCAUGUCUCCCGAACCCGUAGGGUCUACACACUUAAGGUUCGAUGACGCUAGGGUUAUAAAGGAAGCUUGUAUGUGGUUACCGAAUGUUGUUCGGAGUCCCGGAUGAGAUCCCGGACGUCACGAGGAGUUCCGAAAUGGUCCGGAGGUAAAGAUUUAUAUAUAGGAAGUCCUGUUUCGGCCAUCGGGACAAGUUUCGGGGUCAUCGGUAUUGUACCGGGACCACCGGAAGGGUCCCGGGGGCCCACCGGGUGGGGCCACCUGCCCCGGGGGGCCACAUGGGCUGUAGGGGGUGCGCCUUGGCCCACAUGGGCCAAGGGCACCAGCCCCUAGAGGCCCAUGCGCCAAGAUAAAGGAAAAAGGGGAGAGUCCUAAAGGGGGAAGGCACCUCCGAGGUGCCUUGGGGAGGAUGGACUCCUCCCCCUCCUUAGCCGCACCCCUUCCUUGGAGGAGGGGGCAAGGCUGCGCCUCCCCCCUCUCCCCUGCCCCUAUAUAUAGUGGAGGGGAGGGAGGGCAUCCACACCUGAGCCCUUGGCGCCUCCCUCCCUCCCGUGACACCUCCUCCUCUCCCGUAGGUGCUUGGCGAAGCCCUGCAGGAUAGCCACGCUCCUCCAUCACCACCACGCCGUUGUGCUGCUGCUGGAUGGAGUCUUCCUCAACCUCUCCCUCUCUCCUUGCUGGAUCAAGGCGUGGGAGACAUCGUCGAGCUGUACGUGUGUUGAACGCGGAGGUGCCGUCCGUUCGGCACUAGGAUCAUCGGUGAUCUGAAUCACGACGAGUACGACUCCAUCAACCCCGUUCACUUGAACGCUUCCGCUUAGCGAUCUACAAGGGUAUGUAGAUGCACUCUCCUUCUACUCGUUGCUGGUCUCUCCAUAGAUAGAUCUUGGUGUUACGUAGGAAAAUUUUUAAAUUUCUGCUACGUUCCCCAACAAUGCUGACGCCGGAGUGUCGCUUCCAGAUCGAGGAGGAGAGCCGGGCAAGGCGCUCCGCCCGCAUCGCAGCCGGCCUGCCUCCGGACUCACUGAAGCGGAUGAAGAAGAGGAGCAUCAAGCGGUUUCGAUGGAGGAUCCCGAGGAGGACGAGGCAGAUGAGCUGGAGGAGGAGCUAGCGCCGGCUGUGGGCUUCGGAAUGGAGGAUUCCAUGGAGGAGUUUGCGGUCGCCCAAGCGGCGAAGAUGAUAGAGCAGUAGGCCAUCAUGAAGUCCAUCCAGGAUGAGGAUUAUGUCAAGGCGAACCACCAGAGAUGGAGGCGGAGGCCGAGGCGGAGCAGCCGGAGUUGCGGUUGCCGCCCAUGUAUCCGAAGCCGGGCACGAAGAUAGUCGACAUCUCCAAUGAGGAUUAAGGUAGUAUAGGUUAUUUAAUCUACGUAGUACGUCGAUUUUCUCGUUUACAUGUUUUGUAUGGAUUUACGGUUUCAAGAAUGAGGUAUUCUGGAUGCAGAAGAGCUAAUUUGAGGUGUGACCGGUUACUGCCUACGUAGUACGUGGAUUUUCUCGUUUGCAUGUUUUGUAUGGAUUUAAGAUUUCAAGAAUGAGGUAUCUGGAUGCAGAAGAGCUAAUUUGAGGUGUGACCGGUUACUGCCUACGUAGUACGUGGAUUUUCUCGUUUGCAUGCUUUGUAUGGAUUUAAGGUUUCAAGAAUGAGGUAUCUGAAUGCAGAAGAGCUAAUUUGAUGUGUGACCGGUCACUGCCUACGUAGUACGUGGAUUUUCUCGUUUGCAUGCUUUGUAUGGAUUUAAGGUUUCAAGAAUGAGGUAUCUGGAUGCAGAAGAGCUAAUUUGAGGUGUGACCGGUUACUGCCAAUGGACGCGCCCGUACAUGUUUGUGGGCGUUUCAGGGCCCGAAUUUGCUGUCCGCGACUGUAGAUGCUCUAAGUCCCAUGGGUACCAGGUCGUCAAUUUUAACAACAAAAUACGAGUUAUAUGUCAUGACUGGUAUACAAUGGGGACAGAUUGCCGGUGGGAGGGCUUCAUUUUUAGAUUUUUUUUCGAGCUUUGUUAGGCUUUGGAUCCUGCUCAGGAAUGUGAGAUGGCGGCGGCUCCCUGAAGAUGGAAUAAAGGUCUUUUCUCCUAACCCCAUUCCGAUGAUGCGUCAAGCAUCAUCGGUGGGCGUGUGUAGGUGUGUCUUCGGCGGAUCUUUCUUUGCCGGAUUUGCUCGGAUCUGUUCGGCGUUCGUCUCGGUUCGUGUGUCUUCAAAUUGGAUCAUUUUGAUUUACACUCUUCAUCCGCGGUGGUUACUGUUCUGGUGUGUUGGUUCUAUGAGGCUUUAGCACGAUAACUUCCCGACUGUCUACUACAAUAAGGUUUGCCCGAGCCCGGUAGGGAAGGGCGAUGACAGCGGCGCGCCUUCAUCUCGCUUCAGUGUUUGUAGUCGUUGAUAGGUGGUGUACGGAUCAUGAUGUAAUUUUUUUUAAUGUUUGUUGUACUACCAUGAUUGAAGAUGCAUAGAUUGAAAAUUGUUCCCGCAAAAAGAAAAGAUUGUCGCAGGGUAAUGACGUGGCUAUAUACGACAUCCAUUACCCAAAGCGGAGGAGUUUGAGAAGGUUGUAAUCGACAUUUACCCCUCGAGGCGAGUGACGUCAUGGCACAUGAAGUAGUUUUUUUUUUUGAGGGAAAUGAAGUAGUGAGUUUGGCCAGGUGGUCCGCAUCGGCAAUUCUGAUCGUCGAGUAUGUACCCGUGUGUUUGGCAAAAAAAAAAGAAAAGAGUAUGUACCCGUGUAGCAUGUGCGGGCGUCCCAGGCCCAACUCCUUACCUCCAGGCUCCAGCCCAUGUUUGGAUGGUUUUAAUGCGAAUAGAACAUACUACAGUACAAACAAAAAGACCACCACAUUCUAAAAGACUAGCCGAGGAUGACACUUUUCUUUAUAAAAUGGUCCUAACCUCUUUUUAUAACCUAGGUGAGACUAAAAUCACUAGUAACACCUAAUGUCCCAGCAGCCUAACACAAUGAUAAUAACUCUUAUCAGAGGCUCCAGCCCAUGUCGUCACCAACCUUUUAUUUCCAUUUGACUAUAAUCGAGCAGACACAUUAUUAGAAAUGGUCUGCACCUUUUUUUUAUCACACUAAGAUGUCCAUACAUACACACAUAUAUCCAUCCCUGUGAACACAUAUGUAUACCCUACUUCUAUGAAAACCUUCGAGAAAGUGAUCCGGCACGUCAUCUUAAAAAUCGACGAAAUCGUCAGAGACGUAUUUGUAGUUGACUGGAACGUCUUCUCUCACCAAAUACAUGUCGUUCAAACGCUGAAGUAAAUUUUAAAAAAUACGACAUUCAACCCGAAUCUAGGAUUUAAACUUUGGUUGGUUGCUCUGAGUCUGACACACGAAAAAUUAACCAUCUGAGCUACACUUGGUAUGCACCUUUAUUCCGUGCUAUGACACUAUCUCGUGCGGCCGGAUUAUUGCAUUUCCGCCCACCUAGAUUGACUGAGCCAACGAUCGGCGAUGGUCAACGCUGCCGUGAAGUGACUGCCGAAUUUAACUAAAACAGGGUGUUUAUUUGCACAAUUUAACAUGGGUGUGUACCUGACUUCUUUAUUUUAUUCUUCUUUUUUGGGGCUGACACGGCACGCUCACCAUUUCAUUUCAUUCUUUUCUUUCUGUCGGCGUAGCGGUGCUGCCAAGAGGAAAGAAACGUCCAACUUUUGCACAAAGGACCGGAAACCUUUUUAAGAUGAACCUCAACCUUUUAGAAUACCUUCUCUCGCCUGUCUCACACUUUGUAGUACACAAGAAUUACCAUCUUCUCUGGCAUGGUGUGGCGUCAUUAGCAAAGCUAUGUAGCCUGUAUUGUGUGCCGGAGACAAAAAGAUGAUCGCCCUUUUUAUGAUCUAAAUGAUUUAAUAUUUCUUUCCAGAGGGGGUACAAGACAAUUAUAGCUCCAUCUCUACUAUGUUUUCUUAAAGGAUAUAUCAUCUUCGAUUUGAUUUGGUUGUUUAUGAUCAAUUUUGCAACCAAGAGCGGAUCACUUCCUCUCAAAAAAAAGAAGAAGAAGAGUGGAUCACCAUCAGCUCAUUAGCUUUCCACCUUUUCCUUUU
rnacentral:lncRNA from 1 species